CCCCUCCAUAUUCCUUACUCCUCAGAUAUAGAAAAUUGGUCUGAGUGGCUUAAGAAAGGAGGAAAAAUAAAAGGGAAGUGGAAUUGGAGUUUAAUGACAUACAAGUUCAUUUUAAACACUA
rnacentral:snoRNA from 1 species